UUUAGUCCGGACGCAAAGUGAAGUGCACCUGCCCGUGGGAGGAAGGUCACAGCUGCCCCGCAGCACCCGCCGGCUGCACUUGUGAGGGCGACAGUCUCCAGACACACGCUCCCCUGCACUUAAAAGUGUUGGCAUCAGAGGAGUAGUAGUGUGUCCAGUGACAGGCUCUGGAAGUGACAGUUAUUUGGAUAAUUUCCCAUUUGGAUCUAAGUUAAAAGAUUCUUUUUGGAACUUUGUAGAUAAUGAAUGACAAGACCCUUGAGUUACUUCAGUGUCUAGAUAGCCGUUCGUGACAGAAUGAAAGGUCUACGAGGAAAUCGAUACCGGUGUUUGUGAGUUCUGCCAGGAAGCAUUGUGGGCGCGCUCCUGAAACUUGCCUCUUUAAUUAAAAUGCGUUGGUGGCUUUAAGUAGCUCGAAAGUACAGAUUUUUUUUCAAAAGGACAAAACAAAACAGAACAGUGGAAGCUGCGUGACUCCGCAUGGAUUUUUUUGCUGGCUGGCUGGCUGACUUCUAUAAUAAGCAGCCGGGGUGUGCAAGGUGAAGUGCCUGGCUGGGCUACUGAAGAGACCUAUGGCAUUUGGUCCUUGGGGAUUUUAAAGAAAUUAACAGGGAACCAUUUGCCAGCGUGAAUCUCCUGCCUCAAAAGAGGGACCUGGUCUGCGUGCUGGUGGCGUCGAAACCUUGUGGCAGGUUUCUUGUGCUACCUGACCCUGUUCGUGCCCCCAUGUGCUGAACUGUGAAUUGACAAGUGAGGUAUUAGUGCGUGGGGUGGAGGGGACAACACUCCUCCCAUUGUGAGGUCCUGUGGCGGCCUUUCCUGUUUCGCUGUGCCCUGUGGUAGAGGGACCUUCUGAAAUGCAGUCAUCUCAUUGCAGAUCGACUACCACUACAUCUCCUCGCAGGGCUUUCCGAUCGAGGGUUGGGCUGUCGUGUAUUACAUCACUCACCUCUUGAAAGGAGCACUCCUGUUCAUCACCAUUGCGCUCAUCGGCACCGGCUGGGCUUUCAUUAAGCAUAUCCUUUCCGAUAAAGA